GAAACCGAGGACAGAUCUUGCAAUAAGAACCCCCGACCCCCAACCCAGCGGAGAGGAGACCAGGGGGCCCUCACCUGGCGCUGAAGGACGAGGGGAGGACUACGGGUCCCACCUGACUCUGCACCUCGGCAGGCUCCCUCUGAAGGACAACUGCUGGCCCCCCAGGGCCUCAGGUGGAAGGCGUCGGGAAGUGGAGCAGAUAGGGUCUCACAGUGUUGCUCAAGCUGAUGUUGAACUGUUGGAAUCAAGAGAUCCUCCUGCCCCAGUCUCCCUAGUAGCUGGGACUACAAGUGUGUGCCACCGCACCUGCCACCCUCCUCACUGUUUGGGCCCCAUGUGAGGACUCACCUCGGGAAGAGCUCCUGUGGCUAUGUGAGUCAAGGAUGGAACGAUGUUCCCAGAACAUCCCAGGAGGGUGUGACAGCCUCCAUCUAGAAGGUUCUAUCCUCAGGUCCCCAAGGCAUCUGCAGCACACCGUCCUCUGCUGUGGGUCUGUGAAGCAGGCACUCCAGCAGCGGGUGUCCCUAUCAUUGGCGUUCUCAGUCAUCUCUCUCCCCACUGACCCCCUUCCGUUCCUGUCCCUGUGGUCACCCGCCCAGCUAUGGACCUUCGCGCCUAACUAUGUGUCCCUCCAUACAUCACCUAUCCCCCACUCACCUGUCUAUACUCCAUCCCCCGUGUAGCCAGGAAUCCAUCCAGCACCCCCUCA